rnacentral:rRNA from 1 species
GUCUGCAGUCAACAUACCUUGAACAUGCUUGAUUUCAUCUGGUCUCAAAAGCUAAGCAGAGUUGUGCCUGGUUAGUCCUUGGAUGGGAGAUUGUAAACAAAGUCUGGGAAGAAACAAGGA